CAGCCGUAAACAAUGUGCGUUAGGUGUGUCGGUAACCACGCGUUACUGAUGCGCCGAAGAGAAAUCGUGAAACGCACCACCUGGGAAGUACGGUCGCAAAGGCUGAAACUUAAAGGAAUUGGCGGGGGAGCACCACAACAGGUGGAGCCUGCGGUUUAAUUGGAUUCAACGCCGGACAUCUCACCGGAUAAGACAGCUGAAUGAUUGUCAAUCUGAAGGUUUUACAUGACUAGCUGAGAGGUGGUGCAUGGCGUCAGUG
rnacentral:rRNA from 1 species